GUAGCCAGCACAUAUACUAAAAUUGGAAUGAUACAUAGAAGAUUAGCAUGAUCCCUGCAUAAGGAUGACAUGAAAUUCCUGAAGCAGCACUACAGAUGU
ensembl:snRNA U6 U6 spliceosomal RNA